GGUUGAGUGGUCUAGCGGUUAUGAUUUCUGUCUAACACGGAUAGUUUGAACUCCGAUUCGAACUCCGCAUGUACACAGAAGGUUCUGAGUUCAAUUCUCAGCUCAAUCA